GACGAACCACCCAAACGUUAUUCGGAAUUACUGGGCUUAAAGGGUGCGUAGGCGGCGCGGAAAGUCAGAUGUGAAAUCCCUCGGCUUAACCGAGGAACUGCGUUUGAAACUACCGUGCUUGAGUAAGACAGAGGUAAGCGGAACUUCGGGUGGAGCGGUGAAAUGCGUUGAUAUCCGAAGGAACACCGGUGGCGAAAGCGGCUUACUGGGUCUUUACUGACGCUGAUGCACGAAAGCUAGGGGAGCAAACGGG
rnacentral:rRNA from 2 species